rnacentral:rRNA from 1 species
CUUGCUUCUCUUGAGAGCGGCGGACGGGUGAGUAAUGCCUAGGAAUCUGCCUGGUAGUGGGGGAUAACGUCCGGAAACGGACGCUAAUACCGCAUACGUCCUACGGGAGAAAGCAGGGGACCUUCGGGCCUUGCGCUAUCAGAUGAGCCUAGGUCGGAUUAGCUAGUUGGUGGGGUAAUGGCUCACCAAGGCGACGAUCCGUAACUGGUCUGAGAGGAUGAUCAGUCACACUGGAACUGAGACACGGUCCAGACUCCUACGGGAGGCAGCAGUGGGGAAUAUUGGACAAUGGGCGAAAGCCUGAUCCAGCCAUGCCGCGUGUGUGAAGAAGGUCUUCGGAUUGUAAAGCACUUUAAGUUGGGAGGAAGGGCAGUAAAUUAAUACUUUGCUGUUUUGACGUUACCGACAGAAUAAGCACCGGCUAACUCUGUGCCAGCAGCCGCGGUAAUACAGAGGGUGCAAGCGUUAAUCGGA